AGACGCUACGGACUUAAAAUCCGUCGACUUUAGAAAUCGUGAGGGUUCAAGUCCCUCUAUCCCCA
rnacentral:tRNA from 3 species